rnacentral:sRNA from 1 species
GAGCUGUGAGUUCAGAGUCUUCUACAUUGCUGUUAAUAUUCCGGACAAACAAUGUUCUCGAGGGAUGUUCA